GAGCCGGGGGGGGGGGGGCGGGGGGGGGGGGGGCCGGGGAGGGGCAGGGCCGGGGGCGGAGGCACAGAAACCCUGCCCCCA
rnacentral:miRNA from 1 species